AAAACAAACGCAACAAACCAACAUUGAAAUAUAACACAAUCAGUGUUUCACCAGGCACAAUAAACUCCGAUAUUACAAUCAGAAUCAAUCAUUUGGACCUAGUUAAUAUGCUCAGAUACAAAUUCUGAAAAGCCUCGUACACACAAAGACAGACCAGGAAGACUGAAUCAUACGUGUACUUGCGAAUCUAUGCUCUCAAAAAGUUCCACAUUCCUAACACGUAUAGAAACUCUAUUGCUUCUUUUGAUUUGUAGAACAGCCAAUGAACAGACAACUUGCCACUAACAAGAAUGUGCUUUCCUCCAGGGUCUUUACAGUAAUGAACUACUUGUCAUUUUUGACAGCCAUGCUCAAAACUAACAUAAAUAUGAAAAUUCACCUUUUUUUUUCGUUGACGAGUAUACAACUGUUACAAGUGACAAAUACUGGCAUAUGACAUCAGACAAUAAUUUAUUAAAAAAAUAUAUCAUUUGCAUACAUGAUCUUACCUGAUCAUACAUGACACAGGAUAAAAGAUGCAGCAGCUAUUCUAGCAAGUAAUCAAAUAUGUCAGCAAACAUGUAUACUAUUUCAACAAAUUAUUUAGCCAAUGCACAAACUAUCUACGAGUUAAAACAAAUCAGGAAGUGUGCUGCACUUCAAAAUAAAGGGAGAGAGAAAACCCAAGGGUGAACCUGCCUAAUGAAAAGAAUAAACAUGAAGCAACUAAUGCAAACAGACGGUGUCAAACAAAAACCAUCCAAAGAUAGAGCUCAAAAUGAUUAGGGCAUAGCACGCAGAAUAUUAGAAUUUCUAAUUCACAAAAUGGUCAAACAUUUUAAACAAAAAUCUUCAAUCUCACUGCAGCAAAAUCAUUGCUUCUUUCAUGAAUGGACAACAAAAAGACCAAACAUGUUCAAUGAUCUAAUCACAUUAAGCCCAGUCAGAUAUCAGCGUUUCAUGCUACCAAUAUGACAUGCUAUGUAAAUAGCAAAUCCAUAAGGACUAAAUGAGCAUUACAAACAAACAAGGGCAGUAUGGUUCAAAAAAGACAACACUAUCAAGUAAUUCAGUAGAUUCACAUAUUCCAAAAUAAGUGGUUUCAGCAUCCAACGAUGGGACAAGUUGCAUGCGGUUAUACAUCUCCCUCCUUUCUUUCGGAUAUAGAGGAAUGAAGAUUGCAAAAUCUAAAUCAAGUCAGUAUUACAAGCUUAAGAAGCAAGGCAGCGCAUUACCUAUAUAUUAUGCAAAAGUCUACCCAAGUUUAUUUCUUCAAUCACAAAUUUCAAGUCGAUAGUUACGUUUACCAUCAAAGAAUUAUGAUUACUAAUGGAAACAAGCAGUGAUUAAAAGUAUUUAUUACUGUUCAGUAACUUUGUUUUUGUUGUCUCAGUUUUCUUCCACACACACACACAUAUUGGUUCA
rnacentral:misc_RNA from 1 species